CAGCCGCCACGGUAAUACGGAGGGCGCGAGCGUUACCCGGAUUUACUGGGCGUAAAGGGCGUGUAGGCGGCCUGGGGCGUCCCAUGUGAAAGGCCACGGCUCAACCGUGGAGGAGCGUGGGAUACGCUCAGGCUAGAGGGUGGGAGAGGGUGGUGGAAUUCCCGGAGUAGCGGUGAAAUGCGCAGAUACCGGGAGGAACGCCGAUGGCGAAGGCAGCCACCUGGUCCACUUCUGACGCUGAGGCGCGAAAGCGUGGGGAGCAAACCGGAUUAGAUACCCCAGUAGUCCCUGUCUCUUAUAC
rnacentral:rRNA from 1 species